UCCUUGGUGGUUCAGUGGUUAAGACUCUGAGCUUCCACUGCAGGAAGCACAGGUUCAAUCCCUGUUCCAGAAG
rnacentral:tRNA from 1 species